GACGUGAAAUCCGAUCGUCCGUCUGUUCCUCCAUGAUUUAUAUUCCUUCAGUCUCGCGAGGGUCGGCCGAUUAAAAAAUGUAAAAGUGUUUUUCCACACAAAAGUAUUCCAAGUUGUGAAUAUUCUCAUGAAAAAAUCCAUUGCAAAUUUCUUCUUCACUUCUUCCAACAUGAAAACAACUUCUUCAACUGCCGGUUUACAGGUUGCAAUACUCGCGGUUAAGCCCACGUGAGGCCACGCCCCAUAUUAAACGUCACGCCCACUCACAGUUACGCCCCUCUCUUGCAGUCUGCAGACAGACAGCUCCAUGAGACAGACGCUGUCAGUUUGCUGCCCCGGAUAUGAACUCCUAUCCUUACCAAUGAGUCCGGACCCCAGGCGAUGCAUUUGUCAGGCAGCCACAGCCAAACACUUGACCUUCGUGUAGCGCAUGUGCAAAAGCCAAGGACAGGCGCUGCAGCAUCAUCAUGGAUAAACCUCCUGAAUCUCAGCCUGAGGAAGAAUCACCACGGCCAUACUUUUUUUUUUUCACAAUUAUUAUAUAAAACCAACUCUGACAUUCCUUGAAUUUUCAAUUGAAUUCAGUUUUAUUCGUAUAGCACCAAACAUACAUUAUCUCAAGGCAGUUCCCAUGAAUAGUGAGGUAUUUUAGUUGUUUGGUUUAUGUAUGACGUGUGAGCAAGUUGGUACUUUUUACAUUAAACUCAACUGAGUGGCAUUUUUUGUUGGCAUGUGACUUUUUGCAUUAUAUUUUGUUAUUAUUUCAUAUCAUAUAUAAAUUGUCAAUUUGAUCAUUUUUUUGUAUUUAAUACUUGUAUUCAAGUAUUUAGAACAACUUUUUCUCAACAACUUUAGUGAACCAAACUAGAUUUUUGCUGUAUAGCUCAACUUCUUCCAGUGUAAAGUAUCUGGUAUCCUGCAAAGUUAUGCUUUCAAAGUAACUUCCCCAACACUGCAUCAAAUUUAAUGAUACACUGCUAACGUCCACUCUUUCUAAUGGGACAGUGGGACAGUCAUUAGAAAUUCAUGCGGUGCAGCCAAGCAUUGUUCAAACCUACAGAAUUUUAAUUUCAACUCUAGCUGAGACCCAAAAGUACUGAAAUAUACCAAACAUGUCAGGCUGAAUUUUGGCAAGAUGUGUUUAAAAAGAUGCACAAGACAUCUUGAAUAUUUGCAUUUGAUGGAAUAGGGCCUAACAACAUGGAGUCUUGGUGUGUAAAUAUCGUAUAGUUGCUUCAAGGAAGCGCCGGAACAAGCUGAUGCAGAAUAUGUAUGAUACUGUCAGACAGUGUGGAGUAAAAUUAUUUUCCCAAGCUUAAAGGAGAACUUCAUCAAAUACAUCAGUGUAUGUGUACAGGUAUUGGAGUGUAUUACUGCGUAAGUGGAAAAAAUUGGAUAAACACUUUAGUGGUUCCUGAGGGAAAUGUGCAAAAUCCGAUAAAUUGCCUCAAGUGAUGGCAUUUGAGUCAGUGUUGGGGCUGAAGACUACAAGUUUAAAAAUGAAAAAGAAUCUGUGGAUGUGGAGUUAGAAGGAAGAGAGCUUAGCCGGCUUCCAUCACUCCUCAUUAGCCGCUACAAGCAAAACACACUCAAAUCUCCAAUCGGACUAUUGGCGGUUGAGUUUGUGGGUAAUGUAGGCGUCUGGAAGAAGAAGAAGACACGGCAUAAAAAAGUUCUGCUGCAUCGAUUCUGAUACUUUAUUUAUAACUGCCCGUCAUGUGUCAAGACAAGGAGUACUCUUAUAAAGUGACAUACGGAGAACUGAAAGGGGGAAAGUGUGCUGUGAAGAAAAUACUGAUUCAAAAGGAGGAGGGGAAAGGGUAAACGGUUACCUCACAACAUUAACCUUUGUAAUAUUACAUUCACACGAAUGUACGGCCACAUGGAGAAGCAUCGAGGUUGUGGGUGGAGGGAAGGAAUUGGACACAGCAUCAGAUCGAGCCUGCUCUAUUUGCAUUUCAGCCAAAUGCAGUGGUAGUAGUGAGAGUCAGUUGGAGUGGAGGCAAACCAGAGGAAGCUGCACUGCAGGUUACACUGAAUAUGUGAAACAUGCACCAUUAGGGAUGAAUAAUAGAAGGUGGUUGUGGUUCAGGUAGCGUGCGAUGCUGGCACUCUCUGGCUAGUACCAAGAUCAAAGGGAAAGUCUUAUACCUGAGAGCUGAAAUAGACCAAUUCAAUCUGAGAAACAUGAACAGGUUGAACAAAAAUUCACAUCCACCAUAUUAAAUACUCCUACAUAGUUAUCAAAUACAUGCACACACACACUCCCCCUACAACUAGUACUGGAUAAUUCCUGUGUUUGCUCUACUUUAUUACUGUUACAUUUACACCUGGAGAGUCCUAUUCAAAUGAAGGACACAUCAGUACACAAAUCUCCCCUUGAACUAUAUGAUAAUAUCAAGAGGUCGCAGGGCUGAGGAGCAGGUGCCAUGCUGUCAUUGUGCCCACAGAGAGAGAGCCAAAGCUGCUGUCACUGCUGAGUGCUGCUGCAUGAGCAGGCUGCAGAGAAAGGCCUUGGAGAGGCACUGGGGAGAGAGUGCACCGUUCAAUCAAUGUAAUGAGAGCAGAUUGGUCCUGAGCAAAGGAAGGCAAGAAGGGAGAACGGGAGAGAGAGGGAGUGGGUGAGGAGGGGUGAGGGAGGUAUAAAGGGGAGAGAAGUACAGAGAGAGAGAGAGAGGGUGGAGAGGGUGGAGUCUGGAAAGCGGUGGGGCAAAGAGAAAGAGAAAAUGAGAGCAGAUACAGAAUACAGCCUCGGAGGAUAAGGAGAAGUUGCUGAUGGAGGCAUAGUUGGAAAACAGGCUGAGGGCUCUGGCAAAACUGGUGACUGCUGGGAGAGACAAAUAAACAAUUAUUUUAUCAGCGCAGUGCUUACAUGAAAACAUGGGAGGCUGAAUAACACAAAGGAGGCCGACCGCUGGGCACUCGAGAUUUUAGCAUUCAAACUGUCAGGGAAAAAGCACGAGACAAAGGGGAAGGCAGAGAAAAGCGUGACAAGACAGUGGGGAGUACACAGAAAGAGGCAGUUAGGAGAGGAAAAAGCAAUGCAGCUUAAUUUUCUUUGUACUGCAUCUAGAGACAAUAUUGAUCAGUGAGAAUGUCUCAGAUGUUGAAAUGUUGUUCAUAGCAAGAUCCUGAUAUUUAAUUAAACUGCCAUUUCCAUGAUUUAGUCCAUUAGCUUCUAAUUCUCAUAUCGCCAUCAAUUCUGUCAUUUCCACAGCCGUGACAACCUGGGCUAUUGUUUGCGAUCAGAGAAGCUGAACUUCCAAGAGGUCAUUACUCAUUUCUGGCAUUCGUCUCGGCUCCGGAAGAAAAAGUCAUAAAUUAUUUCUCUCACACAUAAUCCCGGUGCCAGAGCUGUGUGUCAAUCACUUGAGAGUCACUCCCGGCGCCCUCACCUCAGUUCCGUCACGUCCGGCCCAGCGGAUCAUCUAUCAACGGGCGAUCGUCCGUUUGGACGGGUACCCUCUGUUAUUACCCUCACGUCCUGCCCCCCAGCUGAAUUACAAUUGCAGAGUCAGUGAAGAGCCAGGAAACUGAGAGGGCUGAGCCCGGGUAACGAGCUCUGGGGUGGGUAAUUAAUGCCUCCAUUUCCCUGUUGGUAUUGUCGGGAGGAGGGAGGUGGCAUUGAUCAGAGCGAGAUCAGGCCGCAGGGAAGUGGGCGACAGGCCGAGGGCACCAUAGGGGGGAUUGAGUCAAAAUGUAAAACAGAAAAAGGCAUGGACGGGUGGUGAGGCGCAAUAGAGAGGGGGAAUAAGAGAAGGGGGUCGGGGGUCUUCCGCAGGGGCUGGCUUCUCUGUCAUAAAGCAUGCAGCUCUGAGUGUCACUCAUUGCCAAUAAAAAAAACACACCGUAGUGCUGGAUUCUUCUAUCAGACUUGUAAAGCAGAGACAUCCAGAGGGAGAAUCAUGUGGAAUCCAGAGCUGAAUGUUUUACAGCAGAUGCUGUCGAUGCCUUACCUCAAUGAUUUAUAGAAAAAUGACAAAAUGACAGACAGACGCCUCCACGUCCCACAAUUCAAAGUCUCAACAAACAAAGAUUAUAGAAGCAAAGAAUGGCGUAUCAGGGUCAGUCAAAAGGAAAACACAACACCGUGUAAUACAUAAACAAAUCUAACAGCUCACAUAAGUGAACUGCCACUAAUAUAACAAGAAGUCAGGAGAAAAAAUCCCAUUGAUACUGUGAAACAACAGAAUCCGCAAUUCACUUUUCUCUACCCUGAGGGACUUAGUCACCACGUAUUAAAGGACGCAGUGCAAUAUAUAUAUAUAUAUAUAUAUAUAUAUAUAUAAAGCCAGGAGCCACAUGGGAGUAAGUGGAGUGACCGUGGCAGCCACCAUCGCUCUUACUGCCACAUCUUUAGCUGUAGUCUCCCUGACCCUGUCUCUGUUUGCCUGGGAGGCAAGGCCUGGCGCUGCUGACGAUAAAACAAACAGACAGGCCCCAUUUAUACAGUCAGGUGUCAUGACAAGGGAUAAACAGCCGACUGCUUUGGGCCUCUUGAGGCACAGUCUGCACUAAUAGUAGGGGCUAUCAUCAUCCUCAUCCUCACCAUCACCCUCAUGAUCAUCAUCAUCAAGAGCAACGACAGUGGUGUUGGCAGAAGCUCCUAAGUGCCUGCUGGGAAACGUACAAGUACUGACUCAGAUUGGACAGAACUCAAGGGUUGCACUGUUUACUUUGCUGGGCUGUAUUCAUUCGUGUCACUGAAUUAAUCGAGUAAAAAAAAAAAAAGCAAUUGCCGAAAACAUUGCUGGAGAAGAGGUGGGGGCGAGGGAGCAAAAAAAAGAAAGAACAGUCUCGAGUAGAGUGAGGCGGCCAUGGCAAGCAUGCGGCGGGAAUGACAAGAGCGUGGCUGUCAUCACGAGGGAUGAAAAACAGCACCCCCCAAAUGAGGCGAGGCAGCGGCUGCCUCUUGCGCCAGCGAGGAAGGGGAUGCACAGGGACCACAAACACAAUUAUCUUCAUGCCAGCUUUGUUGUUUGUCAGAACUGGCACGCAUUUAAGGACUUGGGUGUACUGAUUAUAUGACACCCGGAGAGGCUCCGGGGUGGACAAGAAGCAGCCAGCCGGGAGUCAUUACCCAAGCCAAAUAGACUUCUCGUUUGUUUUUCCAUCGGGGCAAAGCAUCAAAAGGAAUAAACAAUGGCUGCUAGAUACUCAAUCACCAAAGGUGUGCACUCUUGCAAUUGGGUGUUUUUCCCUUUGAAGAUCCUAGCGUCAAAUCAUAGGAAGUAACGCCUCAUAUGUGAGGUGUAUGUGAUCCCUCGGGACUGUGUUAAGAUAUGAUCCGGUGUCCAGGAGUGAAAUCGCAUACGACCACCUGACAGAUGGCACGAUGUGGGCACCGGGGUUAUUUUCUGAAAGUGUGAAAAUCAUUGUGCUGGCACCUUUCAAUAUCACCAGCUGGUCUUCUUCAUAGCAUCGCGUCUAAAUUAGGCAAAAGAAAUGAAGCUAUUUUCUUCGUUUGGUCACGCCUCCCCAUAGUGUCACCAUCUUGCCCUGAGUGUAAAAACUCUGGGAAAAUAUUCUGAAAGCUGGUUCUGAUAAUAGCUUCUAUUCUGAAAAUACCUGUUGACAACCUGCAAUCUCAGUGCCAGACAGACCACCGUCUACACCGGCAGCACACCGCCAUCAUCCAAUGCCAAGGUCACACCACACAGACAGGGUGGGUGAGUCAAAAACAUGGUGGAAAAACCACAGGCGAGAGGUGUUUCCUCCAUAUGUGACUGGACGGUCCAAAAGGUGCAGACAGGUGCCAUCCACACCAGCAACUACAGAUUUAUACACCUAAAGCUAAAUCUAACAAAAUCGUAGCCCCAAAACGAGAGCUACAGUGGUAAACGUACGUAGAACCCUUUGGGAUGACCUGCUUUCCUUCAUUAACUGGUCAUAAAAUGUGAUCUGAUGGUCAUUGUCCUGUUGCAUCACCCAGCUUCAGCAGGUGAGCACACACCCUCACAUUAUGCUGUAGGAGACCUUGAUAAACUGAAAAUCUUUGUUCUGGUUUUCUUUUGCAUUUUUGCGUUCACUGGGAUAGCACAGUGAGAGAGAGACAGGAAAAGCCAGGGAGAGAGAGAGAGGGGACGACAUGCAGCAGAGGGCCCGACCCCAUGGGAUGCUCUUUGGCUUCAUACAUGUAUGUGAUUUCUGUACUGACCUUCCACAGACACCGUGCUCCAUGAUUUGCGGUUGGUAGUCUCAUGAACAGAGACGUUAACCAGCUCCAAUGAUUAUUUUAAGCCUUUAGCUGUUACUCUGAGCUUAUCGGUUUCUUUGUUAAGUUACUUGGUGCGUUGCAUUGCGCCUUUGGGGUCAUCUUAGCCCGACGCCCACUCCUAUAGAGAGGAGCAACAGAACUAAAUCAUCUCCAUUUACAAUCAGUUUGUCUGACUGCGGACUGAUGAAUAUUUAAACUCUUUGAGAUGACUGUGUAACCUCUCCAGCUUCAAGCAAAUCAACAAUUACAGACAUGAAGUCUGAGAGAUCUCUCUCUCUUGCAAGGCAUGUUUAACAUCGGCAGGUGUUCCUUGUGAACAGCAAACUGUAAAUGUUUGAGUGUUUUGUAUAAGUCAAAGUAGCUCUAGCCCACACAUCCAAUCUGGUUUCACUGGCUGAACUCCAGGUUUGGUAAAUCCUGACUGCGCUUAUGUUCAUGUCAGUAAGACAGGGUUCCAGCCUGUAUUCAGUAUGGACAAUGAAUGGUGUGUAAUUAGUUUUAAACAAAAGUUUUUGUGCCUUAUUGUAACUUAGAUGAAGAUCUGGUCAUAUUCAAAGAUAAAUUGACACAUAAAUGAAGAUUAUUCCAGAUGGUUCACUUACUUUUUCUCUCCACUGCACUUAAGGAUUCAGCUUCAAACGGUUUUGGUCCUAAAAAUGGUAUUCUGAAGUGUUUAUUCCUCCUUCCAAACAGCCGCACUCAAAGAAAAACGCCUGCUGUCACAAAAAGGGGCAACACUCGAUGAGUCACACAACUGAUAAAAGGGGCACAAUUUUGGGCAGUCUCUCUUUCAGAGCAGUCACGGUGCUGCACUGGGUUGUACAUGCGAGACAUAACUCAUCUGAAAAAGUCUUUACAGCCAUGGUAACGGCUUCCUGAGGCUGUACUCGCAUGCUGAUUGUGUGGCAGGUAUAAUGUUACACACAUUCACCAUCUUAGUUUAGCAUGUUAGCCGUUGCUAAAUAAAUAAAAAUCAAUAAAGUUAGAGGAUCACCAACAUGAAUGUCUGUACACUUUCACUGCACAUCCAUCCAUCAGAUCACAGAGCUCUGCAGCAUCUUUACCAUGAAACCCAAUCCUGGAGGGGCUUUCAGGUUCUGUUUGUCAAUCAGACAACUUCAUCUGAAUCACACCGUCGCUCUUUACAUCAAAAAAACUAAACUUAGCAAUAAUGUACUAUUAUUAAUUGCCACUAUUCUGCAGAUGACACUCAACUUUGUCUUGAGCCGUGACCCUGCAAACUGUUUUCAGAGAGAAAUGAAAUCCUUCCAAGACUGGCUUCACAGUCAGUACGAGUGGUGUUCUUACAAUCUCUACAAGUAAACAGUGAUAAGACAGAGAUACAGAUCAUCUGUGUGGACAGAGCAGUUAUUGUAUUCUCAAAUUCUGUAGUUAAACUGUCACUCUGUGAUCCCGCACCUGUCUUGGUAUCAUCCUUUGAUCGCAGCCUUAGCUUAGAUAAACACAUUAAAUCAAUGGUUCACUCCUGUUGUCGGCACCUGAGAAAUAUUUCAAAUAUUAGACGGUUUCACUCGACCGAAAAAACCUCAAAACAGUUACUCAUGCCUUUAUCCUCUGUUGACUGGAGUAUUACUGUAACUCUCUGGGCUCUGGCAGUCUGAAAAAAUGUCCACCUUCUUUACUGCUAAUUCAAAACUCUGGUGCCAGGGCUUUAAAUGGAAAGAAGAAACAAGACCAUAUUUCAGACACCCUGGCAUCUCUAUAUUGUUUAUUAACCCGUUGCCUUUUGAAUGAACUACAAAUUCUGAUUACUUUUUAAAGCCCCGAAUAGCUUAGCUUUGAGUUACAUUUGUGACCUUUUGGUGACAUUAUGUUCUCCUUUGCUCGUUGAAUCCUUCAAAUGCUUCUUUUCUCUUUAUUCUCUUACUCUUUAUUCUCUUUAUAUUGUUGAGAUCCAAACCUCUAUGAUCUACACUCAAACACAAAGGUGGGAGCCUUUGCUGUCAGGGCUCCACCAUUUCUGAAGGACUUCCUCAGCCUCUUAUUAAUUUCUUAUUUUUAUUAAUUAAAUAUCACUUUUAAAAAUAGACAUAUAUUUUAUUUACCUGCUUUUUACUCAUUACUGCUUAAAGCCAUGUCUCCAGACCUGCAGCAAGCUAAGCAAACAAUGCAUUUUCCAAACCAUACUGAUUUUCACUGGAUGUGUUAGUGGAGUUGUGCUGAUUCCCAGUAAUGUGCUGGUUGCUUGUUUAAAAUGUGAUGCAAUUGGUACAUAGGAUUUUAAGUUUAGUGAUCAAAUCUGCCCCAUGUGUACACGCACAUAAACACACACACACACUCCACUAUGCUUUCUCUCAAAUAGUGUCUCAUUAAGCAAUUAUGGAGUGAAAUUACAGCCUCUAACAGCAGGCUAUUUUUUAUCAAGGCAAGCCUUCCCACACUCUACUCUAUGACAAUACAGUAUGUUGGAUAUUUAAUGGUGCUGGAGGGCGCAGCCUUUAUCCACAAUUGUGAGGAUGUAAUUUUGAGUCAUAUUGACUCCAUCUGUGAAAAAUCAUUCUUUUAACCCCUUUCAUCAGGCUUUGGGGGAUGGCUAAGUUUUUUUUUUUUUUUUU